AACGAACGCUGGCGGCAUGCCUAACACAUGCAAGUCGAACGAGACCUUCGGGUCUAGUGGCGCACGGGUGCGUAACGCGUGGGAAUCUGCCCUUUGGUUCGGAAUAACAGUUGGAAACGACUGCUAAUACCGGAUGAUGACGAAAGUCCAAAGAUUUAUCGCCAGAGGAUGAGCCCGCGUAGGAUUAGCUAGUUGGUGUGGUAAAGGCGCACCAAGGCGACGAUCCUUAGCUGGUCUGAGAGGAUGAUCAGCCACACUGGGACUGAGACACGGCCCAGACUCCUACGGGAGGCAGCAGUGGGGAAUAUUGGACAAUGGGCGAAAGCCUGAUCCAGCAAUGCCGCGUGAGUGAUGAAGGCCUUAGGGUUGUAAAGCUCUUUUACCCGGGAUGAUAGUGACAGUACCGGGAGAAUAAGCUCCGGCUAACUCCGUGCCAGCAGCCGCCGUAA
rnacentral:rRNA from 1 species